UGGGGAAUAUCGAACAAUGGGCGCAAGCCUGAUGCAGCCAUGCCGCGUGUAUGAAGAAGGCCUUCGGGUUGUAAAGUACUUUCAGCGGGGAGGAAGGGAGUAAAGUUAAUACCUUUGCUCAUUGACGUUACCCGCAGAAGAAGCACCGGCUAACUCCGUGCCAGCAGCCGCGGUAAUACGGAGGGUGCAAGCGUUAAUCGGAAUUACUGGGCGUAAAGCGCACGCAGGCGGUUUGUUAAGUCAGAUGUGAAAUCCCCGGGCUCAACCUGGGAACUGCAUCUGAUACUGGCAAGCUUGAGUCUCGUAGAGGGGGGUAGAAUUCCCGGUGUAGCGGUGAAAUGCGUAGAGAUCUGGAGGAAUACCGGUGGCGAAGGCGGCCCCCUGGACGAAGACUGACGCUCAGGUGCGAAAGCGUGGGGAGCAAACAGG
rnacentral:rRNA from 1 species